UGGGGAAUUUUGGACAAUGGGCGAAAGCCUGAUCCAGCAAUGCCGCGUGUGUGAAGAAGGCCUUCGGGUUGUAAAGCACUUUUGUCCGGAAAGAAAUCCUUGGCUCUAAUACAGUCGGGGGAUGACGGUACCGGAAGAAUAAGCACCGGCUAACUACGUGCCAGCAGCCGCGGUAAUACGUAGGGUGCAAGCGUUAAUCGGAAUUACUGGGCGUAAAGCGUGCGCAGGCGUUUGCUAGACCGAUGUGAAAUCCCCGGGCUCAACCUGGGAACUGCAUUGGUGACUGGCAGGCUAGAGUAUGGCAGAGGGGGGUAGAACUCCACGUGUAGCAGUGAAAUGCGUAGAGAUGUGGAGGAAUACCGAUGGCGAAGGCAGCCCCCUGGGCCAAUACUGACGCUCAUGCACG
rnacentral:rRNA from 1 species